rnacentral:rRNA from 1 species
UGGGGAAUAUUGGACAAUGGGCGAAAGCCUGAUCCAGCCAUGCCGCGUGUGUGAAGAAGGUCUUCGGAUUGUAAAGCACUUUAAGUUGGGAGGAAGGGCAGUAAGCGAAUACCUUGCUGUUUUUACGUUACCGACAGAAUAAGCACCGGCUAACUCUGUGCCAGCAGCCGCGGUAAUACAGAGGGUGCGAGCGUUAAUCGGAAUUACUGGGCGUAAAGCGCGCGUAGGUGGUUCGUUAAGUUGAAUGUGAAAGCCCCGGGCUCAACCUGGGAACAGCAUCCAAAACUGGCGAGCUAGAGUAGGGCAGAGGGUGGUGGAAUUUCCUGUGUAGCGGUGAAAGGCGUAGAUAUAGGAAGGAACACCAGUGGCGAAGGCGACCACCUGGGCUCAUACUGACACUGAGGUGCGAAAGCGUGGGGAGCAAACAGG